AGAACUCUUUCAUUUUAUUGCCGUCCAUCAAGAUGUUUCAUGUACCGAAGAUUUAUUUUGCGGUUUUUUCAGUUCUUUAUGCUAUUGUUUUAGUUGUGCCAGGCACUUUUGGAAAACCGCUACACUCUUCAGAACGAGAUGCAUCUAUGAUGCUUACACACGUUGGAUACUUAGCUGAUUUUGCUGAUUACCUCUGCAUGCAAAUGUUCGGGAAUCCAUGUCAUUAAUCUGCUCUGUUUCUUCAAUCAAGAUAUUUUAAUGGAUGAUGAAGGUAGUUUUUAAAUUAAGGUUUUCCCAAUAUGAAGAAUAAAUUAUUUUCCAAUUGGUCCUUUUCCAGAUUUUCUGCCUCGUCUUUUUAAUCAUGUACAAAGAAUUUUUAAAAAUAAAAUUUUGUUUUUAUCCAA